rnacentral:rRNA from 1 species
UACAGAGGUCCCAAGCGUUGUUCGGAUUCACUGGGCGUAAAGGGUGCGCAGGCGGUCGGGUAAGUCUGACGUGAAAUCUUCAAGCUCAACUUGGAAACUGCGUCGGAUACUAUUCGGCUAGAGGAAUGGAGGGGAGACUGGAAUUCUCGGUGUAGCAGUGAAAUGCGCAGAUAUCAGGAGGAACACCGGUGGCGAAGGCGGGUCUCUGGGCCGAUAUUGACGCUGAGGAGCGAAAGCGUGGGGAGCGAACAGG